UCACGUGACCGGCCUCCUAGUAGGCAUUGCUUGACAUGAUGGAGCGAGCUGCGCUGGGAUAGUUCCUCCUGGCAGCCGCUGUGAGCUAACUUCCAUGAGUUGCACCCCACUUUUAUUUUUUAUUUUUUUUAUGAAGGUCGUAAGCAAUCAAGUUAUGCCAAGGGCAUCUUUAUUCUGGGUGCACCUCUGGUGCCAGCUUCAGCCAUUCACAGUACUUGCUUUUUUGCGGAGCGCAAAAAUGAAUUAUACACCUUUGCUCUGUGAGAAAGGGAAAAUCACCAGUACGUACCCUAAAAUGGCGUCCAUUCUGGUUGUUGCCUCCAGUAUCCGUGCUCUGAGUGAGGUGCAUAAAGACAUUUUGGGGUCACUUAAUAAGGUGUCGCUGUUUCUAAAUGGAGUCCUGGAGAAACUGAUUGCCUGUAGGCAGCAACUGACCCCUAGUGGUGGCAUGGUGGUAUUACAAGGGGGAAAAUGAGUAUCAUUAAAUGUAAUAUAGGUUGA